rnacentral:rRNA from 1 species
CCUACGGGUGGCAGCAGUCGAGAAUCAUUCACAAUGGGGGAAACCCUGAUGGUGCGACGCCGCGUGGGGGAAUGAAGGUCUUCGGAUUGUAAACCCCUGUCAUGUGGGAGCAAAUUAAAAAGAUAGUACCACAAGAGGAAGAGACGGCUAACUCUGUGCCAGCAGCCGCGGUAAUACAGAGGUCUCAAGCGUUGUUCGGAAUCACUGGGCGUAAGGCGUGCGUAGGCUGUUUCGUAAGUCGUGUGUGAAAGGCGCGGGCUCAACCCGCGGACGGCACAUGAUACUGCGAGACUAGAGUAAUGGAGGGGGAACCGGAAUUCUCGGUGUAGCAGUGAAAUGCGUAGAUAUCGAGAGGAACACUCGUGGCGAAGGCGGGUUCCUGGACAUUAACUGAUGCUGAGGCACGAAGGCCAGGGGAGCGAAAGGGAUUAGAUACCCCAGUAGUC